ACCCUGGCCGGCAACUCUGAGCUUACAGAGCGGCUUUGUAUUCCGCUUGAAAUCUGCCUCUGUCUCAACCCUUUUUUGUCCUGUACACGUCUCUGAAUCUGUUGAUAAAAUGUUGUGUUUAAUUGUGGUGCAUUACUUUCCCCAGGUAGAAAUUCAAUCCAUCACGCAAGAUUCUGCAAUUAUAAUGAGGCAAACCACACAAGAAAUUGCACGAUCUCUCCUUGAGCACUCAUUUCCAAAUAAUGAGCAACACCUACUGAAACAUCACAGCAAAACUCUGAGCUAACCAUAGUACGUCAACACCUUAUUCCUUCACCAUCGAACACUUGGGAGUAGAUGAGAAAAUAAAAACAAGCAGACUUCAGAGACUUGGCCAAGAUCUGACAUUGAGAAAGUUAAUUGGACCAGCACCUCUAAAAUUCAUGUUGUGCAUUGCUAGUUUGGGUCUCCUGUUUAGGCUGGAAAGCAGAAGGCUUUUGGAGAAGCCCAUUACUCAAGUUACUGCCGAUUCCUACUAACGCCUCCUCUGCCAAGUAAGGAUAACUAUGUGACCAAGUUCAGAAGAAAUCAGGUUUGACCAAAGCAAAUUUUAUUCCGCAUGAAGAAGCCGAUGACAAUGUUGGAUGAGUUGAAGACUCCGGGUUAGUUUUCAUUUCUCAGUACUGUCUUUUAGAAGCGUUUUCCUUGUGAAGAAGACAAACACGGCUAAACUAUCAGGCAGCUAAUGACCUGCAAUUUAUUUUUGCUAUAAAAAUGGUUGCCAUGUCCUGUAUCUGCCAUUGUCUUAUGAAUUUAUCCAAGAAAACUACACUGAAUUCAAAGACUUAAUCCUUUCCUAUAUCUUUCACAUUACUUCACCCUGUCUCCUGGACCGAGAUGAAUUACAAGUCAUUUGUACAUUCAGCUGCACAGAAGUUUUACCUAAAAAUAGCAAUAGUUAGUUUCCCUGGAUGAGAAGAGGUGUGCAGAUUGUAUGUGUAUACAGGUGCAGAUGCACACAGCAAUGUCCUAGUUGUGGAGUUUAACAGUGUCACUGUUCCACUCUUCACAAAGUACCGUCCUUUGGAACCUCUCCCUCUACUACCCCCGGGAGCCCUUUUUAUCCAAACAUGAAAAUGUUGUUCCUCCCUAUCGUGGGCUAAUUACACCAUCUGUUUAGCCACAGCACUAUUAAUGUUCACGCCUUCACACUCCCACGUGCGCUGCCCCCAGACUCCUCUACUGUCAGAUGUACGAGCAGCAGAGAAGGGAAGGAAAUCGGUCUGCAGCUUCUCCACCUCCCCACAGUGCUCUGCGCAGGGAGGAGGACUCAGGCCUCUCGCCGUCCCUCUCCGCGUUCCUGGUGCAAACCGCCAACGUGAACAAUUCCGACAAGGAAGGCAAUCGAACCCCCUUCCCUCUACCAACCUAAAACCUGGAAAAUUCAGAACUGCCCUGGGAAAGAGAAAAUGACAGUACCAGCCACGAAAGGCCAGCUAAACACUCCGUCAUCUGACAGGCACUGCUUAUCCCUGAAACUGACCCAAAAGCAGCAGUCCCCGGAAGCAAGCACAGCUGCGCAUGUGGGGUUCCUUGCCCACAGUUCAAGCGACUGCAGCGACUUCGCACUGGAGAAGCGAGACCCAAGCACUGCCCCACACUCCGAUGAUGGCGGAGAAAAAAGAAAAAUCUCCUCUCAUGAGCACACCCAGCUCUUGCAAGGAAACCGCCAAGUUUUCACGUCCUUUUUUUCGAACAAAAUGGAUCUCAGUCUACGUUACUUUUAUUCCUGUUCAGUUACAUAUUUAUGUUGCCAGUUAGAGAAGUAAGCCGUGUCAAAAGGGAGGAAAAGACGACAAAAUGCACACUCAGAAGACCAAAUAUAAAAAGUUAACUUAAAACUUUGCCCUUCACAGCUAUCUUUAAAAGAACAUGAUGAGAGAAAAAAAAAAAAAUGUAAGCACAAAGAAAUGGUUUAAAAAUGACUCUUCCACAUUCAUCUUUUUACAUUUCUUCUAAUGGGCCAAUUUAAUCAAAAUGUUUUUCUUCAGCACACAGUUCCCGGCAUUGUCCAGAGUUGUUACAAAGGAAGAAAAUACAUAUUUAUACACCUCAAGCAUAAAUAGUUACCUGUAACAACAUUAUGGAAAUGAUUGUUCCCUUUUGAUAUUCCCUAUAUAUAUGACAUCCAAAUGUCCUAAUGAAAAACAGCAAUUCCUCAGAGGCUGGAACAUCACUGAUGAUAAAGAAAUAAGGAAAAGCUAUUAGAGAAAGCAUUAAAAUCACACUUAAAUACAUUUGCCUAACAAGUGCCCUUAGGGGGAAAAUCACUAAAAUAGUGGUUCUGCACAAAUACCAAUUUAAAAAAAAUAAAAAUUAUAAGUGCUUACAAAAGCCUCAAUACA